CACGUAGGGAGCAAGCGUUGUCCGGAUUUAUUGGGCGUAAAGAGCUCGUAGGCUGUUCGAUAAGUCGGGUGUGAAACCUCCAGGCUCAACCUGGAGACGCCACCCGAUACUGUCAUGACUAGAGUCCGGUAGGGGAGCGUGGAAUUCCUGGUGUAGCGGUGAAAUGCGCAGAUAUCAGGAGGAACACCGGUGGCGAAGGCGCCACUCUGGGCCGGUACUGACGCUGAGGAGCGAAAGCGUGGGUAGCAAACAGG
rnacentral:rRNA from 1 species